rnacentral:lncRNA from 1 species
UUUUUUUUUUUUUUUUUUCCUAAAUUCUGGUGGGGCCUUUGCUGCUGCAGUGAGGGAAAUUCCCUGGAUUACAGGCCAGGAGUCAGUUCAUGCUCUCUCUGUGUCUCUGGUGCUCCUCAUCAGGAAUUCCUGCCUGUUCCUCCCAGCCUGUUGGGACACCCUGCACAAGUUUCCUGGCCAUGCUUUUCAGGCCCCACAUUAAAAUAAUGUGCCCUAAAAAGCAAUUCAAGUUCUGCUUUAUUCAUGUUUAUCUCCACACUCCCAAGGAAUCCUUUACAACUUUGUGCAGAGCGUACAGGGGUGGGGGUGGAAAUCAGAUGUUUCUGCUCACCAGAGAAUGGUGCUGUGAAGUACCAAAUGUUCCAAGGCUACAUUUAUUUAGAUUUAUAAACUAAAAUUAAUCAAGAGAAGUCAUUUAUACCUAGAGUAAUUGGGAAAACAACUUCCAAGAAAAUUCCACAUGUCAACAGGAUUCUGCCAGGCUGCCAAAAUUAAUGUCAGCUAAAGUAAUGUGAUAUAGCUUUGGAAAUUAAACAUUUGGGCUUGGCACAUUUUUUCCCCUAUUUUAACUCUGCAUUUCUGUGUUAUUCCUGCAAUAGCAAAUCCUGAGACAAUAUAACUGGGGUGGGGGGGGUGGAGGGGAAACAACAAUCCUCUCCAGAUUUAAAACCUUUGAUUUAGAUUUGCUAUAAGCCAAAUCUGUACAAGCCUCCUAUAAAGAUUUCAAAAGCUGGACUCCUCAUGGGUAAAUAGCUACACAAAAGCAAAGAAAUACAAUCAGAAUUUCAGCAGUGAUAAUAAUCUGACAAUAUUUUGGAUCAAAAGCCUAAAAUCACAAAGCCAUUUGUGAACAAGACCAACACAUUUAGCUGUUUUAUUAGAGGCUGACUUCAAUCAAAAAUAGGCUGAUUUGUGCCUAAAGUUUUUGUAAUGGGGAAAAAAUAUUUCUUUGUUGCAGAUAAUUUUAAGUAAAGCACCACCUGAUUGUUUGGCUUCUGUUUAGAAAGGCUUAACCCCUAUCAUUGUAGAUAUCUCUCCAUCCAAUUUAUUGCCUCUCAGUGGGUGAGAUGCAGAGUUUUGGGUUGAGGAGAGCAGCAAAAAUCAUUUUUCCAUCUAUUGAUGUUGCCCUCCCCUUGUCCCCUGCUGUCAGUCUGAAACCAGUACUUUGUUACCUUCAUUUUAUCUUCCACCCCCUCUUCUAGACAGGAGUGGGUGAGAAUAUUCCAAAUAGGGGAUUUCUGCUGCAGAUUUAUGCUGAUCCCCUGGAAAAGGCGGCACAAACUGGGGGUUCCUUGAGUUAAUUCAUCCUUUCCCACCGUGCUUUAGGGACACGCCCUUCUGCUAAUAGGUAAUGGUACCUUGAGUUCCUUAAACAUGUAUUUUAUACACAGACAACACUUGGAGAGAGCCUCCAGUCCUGGUUAUCCACAACUUCCAAGAGUUUGCAGUCACCCAUCCCAGUGAACUGAAAUCUAGAAAAUGGCAAAUACAUGCCAGCACUGAGAAGACAGUUUUGAAAGGUUUUAAUGGGACAAGUGAGACCAAAUAAAAGAAAUACCAAAGAGACCUGAGAAGAACUCGAUGCACAACACCUCAACUGCCUAUAGUCAAUCAUUGUUGCAGACUGGAAGCUGAAUUUGCACUCUUGAUGCAGAUACAGGUGUUAUCAGCAUGCCCAACUCACAGUUACUGGCAGCUGCUCCAGCCUGGAAAAGGAAUGAACUCUGAGGAGAGUUUGUUACAGAAGCUCUCCGCAGGCACAUAAAAUCUUUUAUUUUAUCCCAGACACUCUUUCUUUCCCUGUUGUAAAGUAGGGUUAGGGGUUGCUUUGUGCACUGGAUGCUCCAGGUCAGUAUGGGAAGAUUGUUAGGAAUUAAAUUUCAAGGAAUUGAAUAAUUCUCACACCUCUGGUAGCAAGAAGCAUCUCCCCCCACCCUUAGGUAGUGGUCCAGUGCCCUUUGUUUCUGCAAGCAGCCCACUGAGCCAGGCUUUGGGUUAAUCCUGGAAUUUCACAAAACCAACUUGCCUUUGGGUUGAGUCUAUAGCACAAUAAUUUAAAAAAUGAAAUUCCAGCUUAUAGAUUAUCAUUCCAUGUAUGAGGUGUCAUGCUCAGCAGUAAAAAAUGGGGCCAAGAGGGAGGGAGGACGAUAAUUUGGGUGAUGAUGUUUGUCUUCCCAAAUAUCCCAUGGGAUUAAAUCCUGCCCUCCUGGGAAUGGCUGAACAUCCACCUGCUGAUGGGAAAGAGGGAAUUUAUUCUUUGUUUGGAUUUACUUGCACGUGCUGCUUUGCUUCAUGUGUUAAAGUGUCUCCAUCUCAGCCUUUCAGGGCUUUCUCAUGCCACAAGUUUUCCCACUUUUCCCUCUCUGAUUCUCUACCCUGCCAAUAUGGGAACCUGUGCAAUAUUCAGUUUCAGUGAGGGGUGGCAGCAAUACUGCACGCUCUGCCAAGUGUUCUUUUAAAAUACAUUAAAAUCAAAAGCAAGUUACCAUUAGAAACACAGUGAUGGGUGUGAAUGAGGAGUGGUUUGGUUCUGUGUCAACCUGAAAUAGGAAAAAAGCUCCAAAAGACAGGUCAACCCAGAAUGAGGAUAAUUUCUUUUUCUCCCCAGUGCAAAAUAAUAAGAAUUAUAUAUAACCUCCUAAAAUUUCAAUUCAAUCAUGUUUUACUUUUGAACUAGAGUGUAACAGUAAUAUAUUGCUUCAAAAUUUAAAAAGAGGUCCCAUAUUUUCAGAACAUUUCCUUUAUUGAAGUCUUUUUGGCUGAAGUUGCAUGUCAGUAAAGCAAAGUAAUUGCCUGGAAAAUAUUGAUUAGCUCUUGUCAAACACCCCUCUGCUAUUCAGUAAUUCCAUUUCAGCACUGUCAGCAUUCAAGAGCCAGCACAGGAGUUUAACUGUGUGUGUUAAGUUCUCUCAAGCAGCCCCGGUGCAGCCCUACAGACACUGAGCCACUGCAACAGCUCUGCCACAUAAAUUACAUGUGACAACUUGGCCCAACUCAGCAAACAAUCCUGUCCUGAGCUGUCUGCUGGCACAUUGCUAAUUAACAAUUAAUUGCCUUCCACAAGACUCCUGCAGAGCAGAUGAUGUGAUACUGCAGAUGUUUCAGCCAACUUGUGUUUCUCUGCAAUGUUGCAAAGUGUCCAAACAUUUCUUUAACUAUUUUGCUUUUUAAACAUUUCUUUAACUAUUUUUGUAAUGGUAUUUUUAAUCAUAUAUAUAUAUAUAUAUAUAUAUAUAUAUAUACUCCUUUCGUUAUUUUUAAAAAUAUGUAGCAGUAUUUAAAUACUGAAACUUCUUUUACUAAAAUACUUUAGAGUUGUGAAUCAUCAGUUGUUGGUUGACACCUGUAGGUUUAUAACCUGAAAAUUGGGUCAAAAUAGAACUUAGUUGGCAGACUAGGAAAAUAAAUUCUUGUGAAACACCAUCCAAUUAUGCCCAGCAAAAGCAAUAUCUCUGCUUCAAGAGCCAAAAGAGAAAAUACUCUCAAAUUUUAUUACAUCUACUUACUAAAAAUGCAUUGACUUCUUAGUCUUUCCCAGCUAAAAGAGGAAUAUUUUAUUGUAGGCUAAUCCACUGGGAAGGCAAAUGGAGAAGACACAAAAAUUAUCCAGAAAUUCAUCUCUGCUGGACAAUUAUUUUUCCCAGUGACUCGUUAAAGGUGAAAAAGAAGCUCAGUGAGAGAAGAACCCUCCAGCAACAGGGCAAACCUCACAUUUAGGUGCACAAAGCUGGGCCUGGAGGAGCAAAGAGCAGCAGGGAGAUCCUGACUUGGCUGGCACAGAUUGCAGGAGCUGCCAAAGGCUGUGGGUGGGAGGGCAGGAGGAGAUUUGUGGGAAUUGCUGCUGCACUCCUCUGGAGUGGAUGAAAAAUUCAGGCACAGAGGACAAAAUAGGCAGGUUCCUAUCAGUGGGAAAAGCCUUCCUGGCAAUUUUCAGAAAGCCCUGAGUUGAUUUUAGGGUCUUGCCCCAGAGGGUGCUGGCACUGCCCAAGCUCCUCAAGGAAUGGACACAUUCCCAAGGCUGCCAGAGCCCAAGGAGUGUUUGGACACCACUCCCAGGGAUGCCCAGGGUGGGAUUGUUGGGGUGUCUCUGCAGGGCCAGGGGUGGGACUGGAUGAUCCUUGUGGGUCCCUUCCAGCUUGGGAUAUUCUAUGAUUAAUUUUAUGUUUCAGGAUAUUUCUGACCAUUCCUACUCCCUCUCAUCUCAGUUCUUUUCCUAUCCACAGGAAAACUGAAAGAAAAGCUUAAAAUACACUUGUCUCCAAUUCUUUUCCAAGUGUCUGGCACUGAGGAGAAUCAUCACUCUAUCAGAAACACAGAGCCUAAUCCAUGGAAAACUGAAUUCAGGAGAGGAGAAGGAAUUUUGCUGGAGAUCAUUUUAUGCAUAACUUCUGCCUAUUUUUGACUCCCUCACCACCCUGAUGUUUGUAGAGUGACUUAUAUAUAAUAAAUCAGGCAGAGAGAAGAUAUCCCAUAUUACCUGAGACAUGGAGUUCUGGCUUCACAACAGCAGGAAAAAGAAGUUGUGCUCCUUUCUUUUUGCACUUUGUAAUAAGGAAGGCAGUAGUAGAAAUAAUCAAUUGAGAUUCUGUGCUCCCACCAUGUUUUAAUUUAAGCACAAUAUCCGGUGAAUGGCAUUCCCAAAGCAGCACCUAUUUCUUAAACUCUUUCUCUAAAAUUGACUUGGAAUUUUUUAUAGGAAAAAAUCCCUAUGCUGAGGAAGACUAGGCAUACAUUUUUUUUAAAACCCCAAUUUUUUAGAUGUUUAACUUUCUCUGAAUAUUGUUCUAGCCAUCAUUUCCUCAUGACUAGAAGUGUGUAGUUAAAUAAAACAGGAAGAACACAAAGAUCUCCUCAUUCAAUGUCACUUUUACUGGUCCCAUUGGGAAAGGAAGACUUUGCUGAUGGAGUCAAGGCAA